CUGAGCAGACGCCUGCACCAUGGUCCUAUGCAGCCUGCAAAGCCAAGACCCAAAUCAGCCUCUUUCCUCAUGAACAAACCAGCCCCAGCUAUUCCUUUCCAGCCACACUAAAAGGCAAAGACCUGGCACUUUCCUCUUCUCCCUCUGCUUGCGCUGCCUCGGUAGGUGAACAAAGGCGUGACCCUUAUUUCACUUUGGCCCGUUGUCCUACCUGACCUCCUCAAAACCUGGCAAUGAAGACUCAUGCAGUUUCCUAGGAGAGAGCUAAGGAGAUAUCAGAUAUAUAGGAAAGGCUGAAAAAGCUCUGAGUGAGGAGAUCAGAACAUAAUGAGACCUCGCUUCCUGAGCAAAAUCUACCCCAAGAGAGGGAGCCCAAGGUCUUGGAGGCCCACCUGAGCAGAUGACACCAGCGUCUUCACUGUGCUGACAGUUAUGGGAGAGCCAGCCAUUGUGGGGGCAGCUCCACAGGUAGGACUCGUGUCCUGAGCAGCGCACAUCAUCCAGGACAAUGGGUCCUGAGCCCUGGCCAAACUGGGCAUUUCCUGGGGCUGACAUGGCCCAGCCACAGCCCAGCUGCCUGCAGACCACAUUGGCAUCAUUGGUGUCCCAGUAGUCAUCACACACGGUGCCCCAGGAGCCUCGGUAUAGGACCUCCACUCGGCCUCGACACCUGUCGCCUCCAU
rnacentral:lncRNA from 10 species